UACGUAGGUGGCAAGCGUUAUCCGGAAUUAUUGGGCGUAAAGCGCGCGCAGGCGGUUUUUUAAGUCUGAUGUGAAAGCCCCCGGCUCAACCGGGGAGGGUCAUUGGAAACUGGGAAACUUGAGUACAGAAGAGAAGAGUGGAAUUCCACGUGUAGCGGUGAAAUGCGUAGAGAUGUGGAGGAACACCAGUGGCGAAGGCGACUCUUUGGUCUGUAACUGACGCUGAGGCGCGAAAGCGUGGGGAGCAAACAGG
rnacentral:rRNA from 1 species